GCCUUCGUAGUGUAGUGGUCAGUACGCUCGACGCGUAUUCGAGAGGUCAGUGGUUCGAGUCCCGGCGAGGGCA
rnacentral:tRNA from 1 species